rnacentral:rRNA from 1 species
CCUACGGGUGGCAGCAGUGAGGAAUAUUGGUCAAUGGGCGCGAGCCUGAUCCAGCCAAGUAGCGUGAAGGAUGACUGCCCUACGGGUUGUAAACUUCUUUUAUAAAGGAAUACAGUGAGGCACGUGUGCCUUUUUGUAUGUACUUUAUGAAUAAGGAUCGGCUAACUCCGUGCCAGCAGCCGCGGUAAUACGGAGGAUACGAGCGUUGUCCGGAUUUAUUGGGUUUAAUGGGAACGUAGAGGGGUUGUUAAGUCAGUUGUGAAAGUUUGGGGCUCAACCGUAACAGUGCAAUUGAUACUGGCAGUCUUGAGUACAGUUGAGGUAGGCGGAAUUCGUGGUGUAGCGGUGAAAUGCGUAGAUAUCACGAAGAACUCCGAUGGCGAAGGCAGCUUACUAAACUGCCACUGACAUUGAUGCUCGAAAGUGUGGGGAGCAAACAGGAUUAGAUACCCCAGUAGUC